rnacentral:rRNA from 1 species
UGGGGAAUAUUGCACAAUGGAGGGAACUCUGAUGCAGCGACGCCGCGUGAACGAAGAAGGCUUUCGAGUCGUAAAGUUCUUUUAUAUGGGAAGAUAAUGACGGUACCAUAUGAAUAAGGACCGGCUAAUUCCGUGCCAGCAGCCGCGGUAAUACGGAAGGUUCGGGCGUUAUCCGGAUUUAUUGGGUUUAAAGGGAGCGUAGGCCGUUUGGUAAGCGUGUUGUGAAAUGUAGGAGCUCAACUUCUAGAUUGCAGCGCGAACUGUCAGACUUGAGUGCGCACAACGUAGGCGGAAUUCAUGGUGUAGCGGUGAAAUGCUUAGAUAUCAUGAAGAACUCCGAUUGCGAAGGCAGCUUACGGGAGCGCAACUGACGCUGAAGCUCGAAGGUGCGGGUAUCGAACAGG